GAUGUUCAAAAGCGUUUGAUCUGGAUCACAGGGUGAGAGUGGAACAGCUGCCGGACUGUGCUGCUCAACUUUGGAAAUCCUAGUCAGUUUGCAUUGCAGUGGUCAAGGCACACAUCACAGAAGACUUCCGGAAACUCCUGUAACUCUUGUGGUACAGCUCCCAAGAUACCAGUGUGAAACGUUGAAUAGUGAGUUGUCUGUGAAUGAAGGAAGCCAGGUCAUCCUUCAUCUACAAAAUGGGAUGGGAGAAAAUGCAGUAGAUGUGAGCAGAGGGCAUUUGUGCAUUAGCUUAGGGUUGCUUGUGUGCGUUCUUAAUUUAACCUAAGAAAAAGAGUACUUCUUGUUUGUGACCUUUACGUGUUCUUGUUAUGAUGUAGAAAGAAUUCAGCUACCACCCACUCCUGCAACCGAGCACUGAGAAAUGUGGUAAGGCAGAAGCUAAACUCUGCGUCCUCUAGAUGGACACACAGGCUUGGUGCCUGGGGUCUGCUCAGUUGGCUGACACUCCUUUGAGGUGUGUGUGCUGUGGUGCUAACUGGGACUGAGAGGAGCAGAGUCAGUGGGGAGGCCUGGGACACUGUCUACUUCUUGGCUUUAUUGAUUUAGCACACCAAGGUCUCCUCACUGUGGUCCCUCACAGAACAUGCUAGUGCCCCCUCUCAACCUCAUGGGUCCUGCUUGUGUGGAUGAGAAAGCUGCAUGUGUGGCAGAGUCAAAGCAUUUACAAUUGAGAUACAGUUUUAAAUGCUUACCUCCCAGCUUAAACCUGACUACCCAAGGCCCGUGCUUUUUAGCAUAAAUGACUUUAACAUGGGGCUGGGGAUUUAGCUCAGUGGUAGAGCGCUUACCUAGGAAGUGCAAGGCCCUGGGUUCGGUCCCCAGCUCCGAAAAAAAGAACCAAAAAAAAAAAAAAAA
rnacentral:lncRNA from 1 species